rnacentral:tRNA from 1 species
GGGGUAGUAGCUCAGUUGUAGAGUGCUUGCCUCGAAUGUAUGAGGCACUGGAUUCAAUCCUCUGCACCA